UAAUACGUAGGGGGCAAGCGUUGUUCGGAAUUACUGGGCGUAAAGGGCGCGUAGGCGGCACAGCAAGUCGGGAGUGAAAGCCCGGGGCUCAACCCCGGAACUGCUUUCGAAACUGCUGAGCUAGAGUACAGAAGGGGCAACCGGAAUUCCCAGUGUAGCGGUGAAAUGCGUAGAUAUUGGGAAGAACACCUGAGGCGAAGGCGGGUUGCUGGGCUGAUACUGACGCUGAGGCGCGAAAGCCAGGGGAGCAAACGGGA
rnacentral:rRNA from 1 species